GCAUCAGCGUGCUCCGGGCGUC
rnacentral:sRNA from 1 species